UCCACCACGCCUCCCACCUGCCCCACUGCUUCUUCUCCUCUCCCUUAGGAACUCUAGCUUCACCUCGCUUCGUAAUGGACCCCAAUUGCUCCUGCUCCACUACUCCUGCAAAUGCAGAGAGUGCAAAUGCACCUCCUGCAAGACGAGCUGCUGCUCCUGCUGCCCCGUGGGCUGUGCCAAGUGUGCCCAGGGAUGUGUUUGCAAAGGGACACUGACAAGUGCAGCUGCUGCUCCUGAUGUAGGGAAAGCUGUGUUCCCAGAAGUAGAAAGUGUACAAACCUGGAAUUGUUUUCCAUACAACCCUGACCCAUUAGUACAUUUGGGUUUCUAAAAAUAAAAUAUGUUAAUGAUAAUAAAAGUUGACUUUAUUCU